rnacentral:tRNA from 1 species
GACCAGAUAGCUCAAUUGGUAGAGCAUCCGUCUAGAGUUCGAAGGGUCCCGGGUUCGAACCCCGGUCUGGCCG